CAGUGCAGUCAUCCAUAAAGUAGAAAGCACUACUAAACUCCUCACCACAGUGUAGUGUUUCCUACUUUAUGGAUGAGUGUACUGU
rfam:Salmo salar isolate Sally breed double haploid chromosome ssa13, whole genome shotgun sequence.